AUGGGGAACCGUUCUCGGCCCAGUGUAGCUAAGGAAACCAUGGAACCAAUUGAUGAGGAAACAGAGAGUCCUAGCAGGGCAGCACAACUGAAAUGCCCGGAUAGAAACUCAGGCGAAAUGCACCUCAACCGGUUCCCAAAUUUUCAUUGCAAGAGUCUGCCUUCAAGACGCCGUGAGGAGAACCCAGAAGAUAGCAUCAUUCAUAGUCGUGGUUCUAUGUACCAGAGCUCCAGUGAUGUCAGCAGACUAAGGAAACUCCAAGAGGGGAGGAGGAAAUUAGACUCUAUACAUGAAAGAGAUGCGUUUAUGUCAUUUGGGACCGUCGAUUCGUCCUCUCAGCCUAGCACAAGUGGAGCUUACUUGGUUCCGCAACGGAGCGGUUCAUGCAAGUUGAGGUCUUCUAUGAACAUAACUCGUGGAUUUAAUCAAGAUGCCAGGGAGCUUGUGGAUAUUUCAUCGCGUGAGGUUCCCAGUGACAACUUGAGGCUUGGAAGGCCACGCAAGGACUGCAAUUUGUUAAAGGAUGAUGUAAGAGACAGGUUCCCGGGGUUAUCGCUCAAAGAAGACAAUGCCACGUGUCCUGCCGCAAGUGCUGCUCCUCAUUUGCUAGAAAGCAGCAGUAGCAAAGGUACAAUGUCAAAUUGCCAACCUCCUGUUGGCCUUCAUCCUGAUAGGAGUAACCAUGGCACAAUAGAUUCAGUGAGUAAUCUCCCCAAGUCCUUGUCAGCUAAGGUGGGCGUUUUUGAUGCUACAUGUCCAUCAGAAAGUGUUCAUGGUGUCGAUGGCAACAAAAAAGCUCGAUCUAGUGCGUUUAAGAAAAUUUUGGAUCCUUUCAUGAAGUCCAAAUCUCUGAGGAAUCCCUCCCACAUGGUAAUGGAAGAUGCAAAAUGUGGUAAUCCACCAGUUAGAGGAAAAGAUAGUGCACUGCGCAAAUCUUUGUUGAGUGGUAUCUCAAGAUCUGACCAAACUCCCACACCUAAAUGCCAGAUGAGUGGGGAAGCCCGGCCUAUCACAGUUACUUCAUCGCCGACUCAUUUGCAUGCUGUUCUUAAACUGGAUCAUGACAAUGGCGCUUUUGGUUUUGAGUUCUGUACCAAGGGUCCAGAAGAAUCCAUUUACGCUAGCACUUGGAAAUCCGGGAACGAACUGAAUUGGAUUUACACUUUCCAUAGUGUUGGCAAGCGAUCAAGUACCGUGGGAAGGACCUCCAAGGAUAGGCAUGGGUGGCUGCCUCCAAUUGUUGGCCAGAUGCAUGUGUCUUCCUAUCUGUACUCUGAAGUUGAAGAAGAUGGUAUUUUAAAUAACUCAGCCACUAGCGAGUUUGUUUUGUAUGACAUUGCUCAUGCACGACGGAGCUCUGCUGUUGAUAGAGUUCAGCGUCCAGAUUCCACUCAACCACCAUUCUGCAAUGUUGUUAAGAAUUCAAUCUCUAGGGAGUCUCUAGAGAGAAAUAAUCAGAUGGAGCGGCAAAAUACUGCAAGGAAUAACUCAGAUGCAUCGGUAUCUUGUCUUUGGUCCCAAGAAGAUCUUCAUCCUCAUUUGGAGGUUGCAGCUGUUGUAGUCCAAGUGCCGUUUCAUCAAACCCGGUCCCUCGAAUUGAAAACUGGAUCAUCACCAGGUACAGUUAAAGUGGUUACAGCAGGCGGAGCACACGGGUUACCAAGGGAUGAUGAGACCAGUCCAUCACCGUUACUUAACCGUCUAAAGAGUGGGGGAAGGUGUGACUGCGGUGGAUGGGACAUGUCUUGCCCAAUCGUUGUCCUUGAAAAUGCAUAUGAUAGUUAUUGGGUCGAUUCUGUGAUGAAUGAAAGCAAGCAUCCCAUGGAGCUAUUUGUUAAGCAGGGUAACCAGGAAGUUCUCCCUGCCCUUUCCAUGAAAGUCGAUGGGAAAGGAGAGUUCUCAGUGGAUUUCCAUGCACGAUUGUCGGCGCUGCAGGCAUUCUCAGUCUGCAUAUCUUUGCUUCACUGUUCUGAAGCUUCUCCAACCAUUGGUAUAGAGAAAUUCAAGCACAAGCUGUAUUCCAGUUCAAUGAAAAUGCUCCUCAAAGAAGAAGUGAAGCAGUUAAUAGGAUCAGUAACAGGAAAAGAGAAGAAGAAAGUGAAGAGGAGGAAAGGAAAAACUCCGGUGGUCAAUGGCCCUCCGUUCUCACCCAUGGGAAGAGUAUAG
rnacentral:rRNA from 1 species